AUGGUCAAUGUUUAUCCCCGUCAAUUAAAUCCAAUUUGCUAACCAUGUUCUUUUUCCUAACCCAACACAUACGCUUCUUCUCCUCCCUUUCUUCUUCUUCACAAAAUUCCAUCCUUGCUCAGCCAUGACAGAACUUGCCAUUACCAUUUUUGAACAAGAAGCUCUGCACCUCAUUUAAUUUUCUUCAACAUCAACGUUCAAAUUUCAAACGUUCAAUAGCUUUUCAGUCAAUUUCAAAAUCCUGCCUAAAUCAAGAACCCUAGAAAUCGGCCUAUAAAUACUCGUUUCUGGAAGCAAUUUUGGACCAUCUUUACCCGUUGUUACUAACCUGAAUAUUCACUUGCUCUUCUCUCAUUUUUACCUCUUUAAAAAAAAUGCACUACAAACUUAACUUCUUGGCCUUUGUUAGUUUCUCAACAGAAACAGAGGCAUUUUGGUGUUCAUUUCGGUGGUUAAUGACAGUUUGAGGUAGCACUUUUGUGGUCGAAGUUCGGUAGAUCCAAAGCUAGCGCCUCAGUUCACUGCCCUGAAAUAGGUCGGUGUCUUUCUCCUUCUCUUUUCUGUUUUUUAUUAAAGUAUGUUGGCAAUUUAUCAUGUGUGUUUGAAUUAGUGUUGAUUUUGGUUUGUCUCUCACAUUUUUUUUGCAUAUCACAAGAAUAGGCAUUGAACUACACCUCUCUGUCGAUCCGAAAUGAUGUAUAAAUAAACAUGAAUCUCUGACAUAUUUAGUUGUUGGCUCACUUUUCUUUGAAGAAAUACCAUGUUUCUGCAUCUUUAGUAAAAGUUGAGGAAAAUAUGCUUAUUCUCAUAUUUCUUGUUUUGUAAGAUUAGACCAUUCUAGUUUUGACGAUUGAUGGAAAAUAUAAUGGUAGUUUCAAACUCGCGGUUAAAAUAAGAAAUUUUAUUUAGUCAAGCUUUUCACGGCAAUACCAUAAAUUAUGGUAACAAGUAAGAAUGGAUAGUUUAAUCUAAUUAUCUUAGCAAUGUGCAUCUUAAGUUUAAUCAGUAGUUGAGUCAUUAAGUAUGCAUAAAAGAGUAAAUCUAUUCUGUUGAAAAAUUUGCUCUCUUUGUUUUCCUAUUGUGCAUGAUAGAAAAACAUCUUUGUAGGAUUUAUUGAUUGUACAGUUCUAUAUCUAUUUACCUAUAUAUCACUUUUUCUAAAAUUUAAUUGUCAAGUUAAGAUUGUGGUGGGUUCAUCAUUACGAAUUUGAGUUUAAAAUAGUGGAAGCCAUGAAUAUAGGAUAUUCUUGUCUGACCUCGUACUUUCUUUUACGCCUUAAACGUCACGUUUGUAGGAUGUUUUCAAUAUUUGUUUUUAACAAAAAUAAAAGAAUAGCUGGGAAAACUUUUCACUUUGUAAAAUAGUGAAUCAAGGUUACAAAGACAAAUAGACAACCCAUCUAUGAAUGUGCUGAUUAGACUAACUAUUGUUUGUUUAUCCAAGUAACAAGAAAGUAUUUUCUGUUAUUAUGCUGGUACAUUCAUUUUUAAGGAAUAAAGACCAUAUAUUUAAACCAUAUUGAUCUUUGUCUGAAGACUACAAAUGAACCUACACGUGAUUCCUGUCUAAAUUAAAUCAAAUACUAUGAUUUGUUACUUUUUUUUUUCUUAUGCUUAAAUGCCCAUAUCUUGAGUAUGAGUUUAGAAGAAACAAUUAGCUAACAAUAUCCUAUAAAUGAGUGAGUUACACUCGUUAUUUAGCACGACCAUACCCUAAGCUCAUUUAGAAAUUUAGAGUCUCACUCAAAUCUAUGGCAUAGAAUUCCAGCCCUAAGAGACAUUUUAUGUGUUAAUAGCUGGGCUAUACUAUCCUUGAUGCCUUCUCUGUCACAAUGAAGUAGAGAUGCUUAUUUGCAUUAUGAUAAUGACAUAUAAAUAAGAUUUAUUAGCUUACUUAAUAAAGCAUGCCUUAGCCCUUAGGCUACCCCGCUUAACUUGUAAUUGCUCUAUCUUAAAUUUUAAAUGAGAAUAAUAGAAAACAUCUGCUUGAAUACUUCAUCAGAGGAUGUUCUCGAAUCAAUUUGAUGAAUCUGAUAGUAUAACAUUCUAACAUGAUAAAUGUGUCUGCUAUGCUGUAUGCUUAUAAGACAAGAGGGGUUGCUCUGAUGGUAAGCAACUCCCACUUUUAACCGAGAAGUUGUGAGUUCGAGUCUCCCCAAGAGCAAGGUGGGAAGUUCUUGGAGGGAAGGAUGUCGGGGGUCUAUUUGGAAACAGCCUCUCUACCCUCUCUACCCAAAGGUAGGGGUAAGGUAUGUGUGCACACUACGCUCUCCAGACUCUAUUAAGUGGGAUUAUAUUGGGUUAUUGUUGUUAUGUUGUAAGCUUAUAAGUUCAUAGUACGAUUAAUAUUGUCUUUAUCCUAUGUUUGCUCGGAUACUAAGUUCAUUCUAAUUUUCUUUUUCCCUCUUUGCAUGUAUACUUUGGAGUAAAUUGGGUCUUAAUGCAAGACCCUUCCAAUCACGGAGCUAAUGCAUAUUUUCCUGGAGUUUAUUUAAUCUGUCGCACUGUACGAAAACAGUGAAGAACGAAAAAUUACACAUCAUAUUUGAUAACAAAAUUUUAUUAAUAUAAAAAAACAUAGGAAACCCAACUCAUUUAGGUGCCCUUAUUAGGCAAAUAUUCAUCUAAAUUGGAUGAUACAGGUGAUGACAUUGACCAAUUGAAAAUUAGAUUCUGUUGCCAGUCGAAGAAGAGAUAUAAACCAUCUUCCAUUAAAUUCCAACUGCACCUUUUCUUAUGAAUAUCACACCUAGGUGCAUCUCUAUGAAAUUUGAUUGAAGAAGAAGGCAUAUUGUCCUUGGCCUCGUUGGUGGGUGACUUUGUUAGAGAAAUUAUUGGGUUUUGAGUUCUUUAAAUAGACAAAAAUAUAAAGAAAAAGAAAAGUUAAUUUGUUAACUUCUUAAUUGAAAUUAAACACAAUCAAGAGUUAAAUGGUCGAAAAUGAAAGUCUAAC
rnacentral:lncRNA from 1 species